UGUGAGGUGAUCGAUACGGGGUGUGUGAGAGAAAGGUCCAUGUGCGCCAGAACAUACUGAAAUGUCUACGCCGUGACGGCCUAUUGGGGGCAGCAAGUCACCAGAAACAGAAGUUGGUGAGAAGCAAGGAUAAGUAUAGGGCAACCAGUCCCCCUCUCUCUCCCUCCCUCUCUCUCCCCCUCCCUCUCUCACAGCCAGCAGGAAAAUGAGAUGGCUGAGAUGAAGCCUGUUUCAAAUGCUAACCUGUUAAGUAAACAAUCAAUGGGAAGGGAAAAUGCUGCC
ensembl:lncRNA